GGUCCAAUGGUGCAGUGGUAGCACGUUCCUUAAGUACUCGGUUGAGACGUGGGUUCGACGCCCACCUUGUCCCUUCGGGGGCAUGUGGCAGGGUGGCUAAUGUGGCUGACUUAUAAUGGAAAGACCUACGUUCAAAUCGUAGUUGGGCCA